ACAAUGAUUGCAGCAAGCAUUUAUGGAUUCACUAGUAUCUGAUCCUCGUUAAAUACAAUGGUUAAAGUAUGGGUCUUCAUCUCCCAGAAUGAUAAUCUCUCUAGGGUAUGGCUGAAAAAGUUGAUUCUUAAAGUGUUGCUUGGAAAAAAAAAAAAACAACCAGUUGUAACUAGUGAAGCUUUUAGAGGGUGAUUUUUCCAUGGUAUGGGCACCCACAGCGUGCCCAGCACACUGCUUGGUGCUGUUGAACACUUAAUUCUCUAAUUACUGCAGGUCCACAUGCCAGUGUGGACUGGCUGCCAUGAAUACCAGGAAAUGUUUCAACCAAAUAAAGCAUCCAGGACUUGGAGGUACUCUUGUUCAUAAUCUUUUAUUUGUCUAAUUCUUCCAUAAUGUAACAAAGUUUGUAUGAAAAGACUGUGCCUCAUAAAUCUUUGAAACUCUAAUAUUAUUACAGUGAGAAAGAAAAAGUUAGGAAAAACUAAGAAAUAUGUUAGUUAUUUUCUAUGAGCAUUUAAAAAUUGAGAAACUGACUAAGAAUAUCUGUAGAUUGAAUUGCUCAUCACUUUAAGUUAACAUAGUAGCCAAAAUGGCAAGUUUCUAUUACAUUAAAGUAUAUCAUGAAGCCUAUGUGCAAUCAUGUAAGGGUGGAUUUAGCUGUAUGUGAACAUCAAUUUGCCCAUAUACCCAUUAACAGAGUUGAACAAUGAUGGUGCCAAAAAUUAACAUGUAAUAUAGUACUUAUUAUGUACCAGGUGCUAUUCAGACAAUAAAUAAUUCAAUCAUCUUGUUUAGCAUAUGAGCUAGGAACCAUGAUCAUUCCCAUUUUACAGGUAAGGAAAGGAAUAGUGAGGCUUACUAGCCCAAGGUCACACUGCUAAUAAGUGGCAGAGGCAGAAUUUGGACCCAGGAUUCGGGCUCUGAAGACAAUAAUGAUAACUUCCAUAUUAUACUGCCACACAGGUAAGAGGAAAAGAUUAGCUAUGUGUGUUACUGAACUUGGAACAUCUUGUAGCAGGGUCUGUUUGUAUUAAGUGGGAUGCUUACACACAGAAAUGUGUUAGGAAAAAAAAUUCUGAAAGUGUCUAAUCCUGGUUUAGAAAAAAAUAUUAACUUCUAAAUGCUUAUUAUCUAGUGUCUUAUAACCUUAAAGUAACUUUCAAGAGUGACUCAGUUUGUGCUUAACCAAAAUAUUACUAAUAAUGAAACAGCAAAACCUUGGAAGUUUCCAUUACCAAUCACAAGAUGUAAGGCACACCCCGAUAAUUUUAUUUACUUUGCAGAGCAUAAGGUGGAAUAACAUGUUCUUCUAAAUGUAGAGUUUAAACAUUGAGUUGCAUCAUUGUGAAGAAAAC
rnacentral:lncRNA from 1 species